CGAUCCUGGGUCUCCAGGAUCGCGCCCUGGGCCAAAGGCAGGCGCCAAACCGCUGCGCCACCCAGGGAUCCCUGUGUAUUUUAUUUUGUUUGCCUUUGCUCUUUAUUUGGAGGUGGCUUGUUUGUUGUAUAGGAGUGGGAAGUGAAAGGAAAUUACUACUUAGUGAUAGCACCAAAGGAAGAUGAAAAUAUAGUGCACGUUGGUGGAUUUUGUCUGCUUCCAUGUCCAUUCCCUUUAUUUUGGCUAAAACAAAGUUCCUUUAGGGAAUACUUGGCUGUCACUCUGUGACAUACAGAGCUCUGGGGGUAAACCUGGGGACCAGGUCUGGCCAAACAGCAUGUCACAUCCCUUGGCUACAGUGACUGCUGAGGGAAGAAUCUGUUAUCCAUGAUAAUCUAGAAAGAGCCAGGUAUGGGCUUUCAUUACAAUUACUGACAAAGAGGUUUAUUAUUCUUUGGUUAUUUAUUUGCUUGCUUGUUUGCUUGCUAAGCCUGUAAUGUGUAAACCUAAUUAUGAUAAAAUCCAUAGUCUUUUUUUUUUUUUUUUAAUCAGUGCUUGAGACUGAAGACAGCACUGAGGUACUGGGAAACAUGGAGCCAAGGUAUAGAGACCUUAUUAGGUAGCAUUUGAGCACCUGUAUCUAGCCAUGCCUGAAGGCCACACAUGGACUAUUCAAUUACAUGAAUCAAUGUGUUUCUUUUUUUUUUUCUUAGCCUAGUUUGAUUUAGGUGGCUAAUGCUUGCCCCUGAAAAAUAUUUCCUGACUUAUUAGAAUGCUAAUCUCUGUUUUGUAGAUAAUUCAAGUGAUAAUUGAAUGUCAUUAGUGUCACAGAGGAUUUACCUCUUUUCUUUUUAUCCUUCAUUAUGACAUAUGACCUCUGGACACAAGGGAGCAUUCAAAAUAUACACAUUUUAUUGAGUAAUAGAGAAAGAACAACUAGUCGUCACCCAAGUUGAGAAGGGGAAUGUUACCAGCUGCUCAGGAAACCCCCAUGAUCACCAAAUCCACCGUUCCCUACCAGAAUUUAUCACUCUUUUGACUUUGGGGAUAAUCAUCUCCUUGCUCUUCUCUAUACUUUUAUUCCAUGUAUGCACCCUUAAAUGGAAUGGAUUUUGUAUUGAUGGAACUGUACUGCGUGUAUCCUGCGGAGGGGGGGGUCUCACAUCUGUCACUUGACAUUAUGUGCGUGAUGUUCCCUCUGCUGAGCUAUAGCUCAUUCAUUCUCAAGGCUAUCAUAGCAUUCAACAUAUGACUGUACCACAAUGUAUUUAUCCAUUAGGGAGCAUUUUUUGUACCCGAUGUUUAUAGUGGAGAAUUUAUUGGAGUUGAUCGGUCCAACAGAGCUCAUAUUGGAAACAAACUGAAAUGUUAUGUACUGCUCUUUGCGGAAGCCCGAUCUUGAAUCAGCCCAGCCAUCUGCUGUCCUUGGUGCACAUCCAAACUGCUGAUGGCUGCUGAAGAAAAAUUGCACAACCGAGUGAAUUCACGUUACUACAGAUCAUGAUCUUCAACCCCAGCUGGGCCCUCAUGAGAGAGAGCGAUUCUGCGAGACCAUCUUCAAUUCAGCUCUCCCCCCUCCUCCAGACCCACGCUCUUUGGGCUGGCAGGGCUCUCUCCCGGUCGUUCUCCACACACUCUCAGCAGAUGACCUUGACUCACGGGGGUCAUCAUAUCGAACAUUGUUCAUUUCUUUAACUUGGCAAUGAUGAAUCUCAUCUGCACCAUGCCUACCUCCCCUGCCGUCUCUGGGGCCCAGCUGCCCUGCUUUUCAGGGCAUAUAACCUAAGCCCCUUAGCCUGGAGCACUUUCCCCAGCCUACAGAACUCAUCACCCCAUCUGCCUGCUUUGCUCUGCCCUGUGUUCCUCUGUGUGAAAGGAUCUGGCUCUCCCACAGCCCUUUUUCUUUUUUAUUAAGUCUCAGCAAUGCCCCCCUUCCCUCUGAACUUGCCCAUCUUCCUCCAAGUCCACAAAGCGUCCUGUAUAGAGAAGACACCUCACAACUAACCAAUCACAAAAUCAUGAAAACCACCCCCAAAGCCAACCAAUGCAACAGAUGGGGAGUGUGUGGAAUUUUCUAAGGAAUGCUUAAUCUCAGGGAAAAAAAGCACUGAAACAUACCUACUCAUAAAUUAGCUGUCAGUAUGAAAAAAAUUUACAAAUCCUCAUGGAAGAAUUUGAUCACUUAUUGAAAAGGCCAACACCAACUUCCCAGUACACAGAAAUUGUUGAUGACCGUCAACAAAGGAGAAAUAUGAGCGUGGCCAUGGAUUUUGAAGAGGAGAAAAGAAUCUCCAGAGAAAGUGGGCAAGCUGUCAGGAAAAUAAGAUGAACACAUGGUACCGAUCCAAAUGGAGAGCCUGUGAGAAGCUGAUGACUGUCCAUGGAAUUCUGGAGACUUUACAAGUCUUCCUCAUGCCUCUGCGUGUAAUUGAAGCUAUAUGAAAAUAUAGUUGAAAUGAGAAGAAAAACAUGGAGAACUUUGAAGAUUUUGGUGUCUUCAAUUGGGGUGGAAUUAUUUCAGCCUCCUCUUGGAUUUUAAUACUCAUUUGACCACAGUGGUGUGCACACAGUUUUAAAAUUUUUUUCGUGCCCCCUAAAAGAUAACCCUCAUUCUGCACAGAAACAUCUUUUGAGUGAUCAUUGAAUAAUGGAUUGAUGGCAAGGUGCUUCGAAUCUUGAGUUCUGCAAGUAAAUUAAUUUGAAAGAGAAUGACAUAAAGCUUCUCUGUUCUUUCUGUGAGAAAGUUUCUCCCAGAUGAUUUUUCAAGAUGAGUAAAAGGAAAAGUGCAUAAUUGUAGCUGUCACUAGAUCAUUUUCUCCUUCGUUUUUUUUUGGGUCUAUUCUUACCUGUUCAAAUUGUGUAGACAGCUUUGAUCAUGCUACAAUUGCCAAGCGGUUCACUCAUCUGCCGAGUCCCCCGACUGCCAAACCACACCGUUCUCUCGCCUGAUGACACUGUUCCACACUAUCUGAUGUUCAUCCAAUGCUUUGAACUCUGCUAGCGUUGCCUUCAGAAGAGAACAUGUUCAGAAAGCUCCAUGAUGGACAAUAUUGAAUUGUGUCACCAAGUUUUUUGAGUAUAGGAAACAGAACACACAGGGCUUGGUUUUCACCACUCAGAUUUGUAUGUGGAUUCCCAGACAGCUCUCAUGUUCUAAAAUUACUCUGGUCAUCUCACUGUGCAUUGCCUAGCUCUGCACUUCAAGGCUUCCAGAAGUGUUGGCCUACUUUCCUGGAAGCGAAAAGGAGAUGGUCAUUAUUUAUUAGUUUUCCAUAGGAAGAAGAAGGGUUACCUGUAGUCCACUUUUACUGUGAGUGAUCAUUGGGUGGACUCUUCCUUUUUUGUGCAAGGCGUGCCAGUGUAUUAGUGGGACAACACACAUUUUUUUUAAGUAAAACCUUCUGAAGAGGAAGAUGGCGUCUACAUUUCAAGUUCGUAGGUUCAUUAGUUGGUGGUGGCAUUGCAGACUCGUACUAUGGGGACACAGCCUUCGCCUUCUGUGUGACACCUGGCAGCCCUUGGGCUGGAUGAAUUUAGCAUUAAUUGAUCUCCAAGGCCAUCGAGUGUGUGCACACCAGCAAUUUUCAAAAUCAAUUACAGGCUGACUUGAGGCACCCAAGCAGAGCGGAGGCCCUAGGAAAACGUUCCCUCCAUUCGCUCCCUGCCACUUGAAAUUUUACUGAGGAGGAAGAUUCAGGGCCUGAGGCGGAAGUGACCAGAUAAAAUCGGGACAGCCAGUUGACAGGUGAAUUUCAGUUACAGGUUCUCUCCUGGCUAGAGGAGGAAUGCGAGAUGGUCUGUGGAAUGACAGGGUAAACUCCUGGUCCGGGGUUCGUCUCCAGAAUCAAACCGUCUGGGAGCACUGCCCGGGAAUCUGCACUGAGACAAGAACCUUGGUGAUCCUUCUAAGAACUACUGUUCUGGAAAAUAUGCUCCAGGGGGAGUUGCCCUGAUGUAUCAUUGAGAAAGCCACGUGUCCUAAAAAAGAGACGGAUGAGGGUUUUGUGGAAGACCCUGGUAUAUGGCGAAUCCUCUCUGUUGUCCACCUGUCUUGUAGCUGAGAUUCCGUGUCUUCCUUGAGUGUCGGCGACCGUGUGGCCCAAAGCAAUGCAAGUCCGGAGAAUGUGAGCACGGGCAGCGCUUCCGUGGACACCAGCCAGUGCCGGCGAGCGGACCGCGGUGACGUGAGAGGCAGCAGGUGCCCGCAGGCCCAGACACACAGAGAGAGGCAGAGACACAGGCAGACGGAGAAGCAGGCUCCCAAGGAGGAACCUGAUGCGGGACUCGAUCCUGGGAUCCUGGAGUCAUAGCCGGAGCUGAAGGCAGACGCUCAACCUCAGAGCCACCCAGCCGUCCCUCAAGACUGGCUCUUGACCUUACUCUUCCCCUCAAGCUUCCCGCACGACCAGAGGUUUCUGGCAAUUCUCUCAUUGUUUUCUGGGAAACCGUGAGGUGGCCAGCUUCCAAGAUGGCACCCAAUGGUUCUUCCCUUUUGAUAGUCACAUUCUGUGUAGUUGUCCCCACUUUGAUGAGGACGGACCAGUCUGGUAUUAGGACUAACAGAGCAUCAGGGAAAUGAGGGGGCCUUGUUACUUUGGAGGAUAGGUCACAGAAGGCCAUGGCUCUCUCUUGGGCCACUCGCUCUGGGGAAGACAGUUGUCCUGUGAUAUGAACACAUCUGACUCGUGAGGAAGUCUUUGAGAAGAACUGACACUUCUUGACAACACCCAUCACUGAAUUGCCAGCUCUGUCCACACCCCACCUUGGAAUUGGAUUUUCCUACCCGGCCUCAAGCCUUCAGAUGACUACAGCCCUCCUACGCAUCUUGAUGCCAGCCUCACAGAAAACCCUGAGCCACAACUACCCAGGAUUUUAUUUAUCCACUCAUGAGAGACACAGAGACAGAGGCAGAGACACAGGCAGAGGGAGAACCAGGCUCUCCACGGGACUCCCAGGAUCCCUGGGAUCACAACCCGAGCCAAAGGCAGACGCUCAACCACUGAGCCACCCAGGCACCCCUGGAAUUAUUAUGUCUCCAUUCUGCUGUGUACUUGUGAAGGAAACAGCCUACUGAUGAGGAUGACACCCUUACCAGCAUGUUCCUGUCACAAGCCCAAGGAGAGUGGAACAUUCAGCAGAGGACUUUACCCGCAGGGCCAUGCUGUGAGAUGACGGCAAAGGGAGUCUGUUGCUGAUUCUUGAGGACUGUGAAACCCAUCUUGAAGAUUCUCUUGCCAGUGAUGUGAUGGAUACAGUGGACGGGGAGGAGCUGGAUGUAUAUUUUCAUGGUGUAAGGUUUGGGUUGCUAACUACCUCUGAUUCAGGAAGAAAAGAAGCCAGGCAGCUAUGGCAGCUCCAAGGUGCUGCUGGCAUUGUCCCAAAUAUUGCUGGGAAGUUGGGUGAGGUUGAUGGUUUUUCUUGGCUGAACCCCACUACGUUAAUGGUGGAGAUGCAUUUCUUGGCUUUACAACUGACGCUGUCUCUCUCAUGUAUGUAGAGGUGCCUGAGAAGGCAGGAGAGCUUCCGGUCUCAGGGAUCAACAUGUAUUAUUUCAUGGAUGAAACGAGACUUUGGACUGAAGAUAAACUAAUUUACUGCAACUCUUAACGGCCACAAUAGAUGGUUGAGGGCAUCGAGAUUGCACUAAAAUCUCUUUAAAUAGAUAUGUGCCUUGCUUGAGUAUUAUGAAUGUCUUCCAGUGAUGACUUUUUGACAUACUUUUGAAACAGGAUGGCCAGAAAAUUUUCCUGAAAGAUGUUUGAGUCUGUGUCAUUCCAUGGAGCCAGGAGCCAAACAUUCUCGCAAAAAUAGAAGACUCUUUCUAGAAAGAAAACUUGGGAAAGUGUGUAGAUUGAGGAGAGAUGGUUCUCCCAAGAAAGUAGAAAAUAUUUGAUGGGGCCCCAAGAGGAGGAGAAGUGGAGGUGUGCAUAGAAAUGCUUUCCAGAAGAGGCCCAUCCCGGACUGUCCAGACUCCAGAUGGCUGAGUGGGGAGGUCGGUGGAGGGAGCCUUUGAAGGCUCUGUAGACACUUUGAUGACUCACUGACAUCAACGACAACAAGAACAUCUGGGAAAUCACCUCCUUCAGCCCAGAAUGCCUACGUCAAGAUUUGGGAUUUCUGACUCAACUGGACAGUCUUGCGCAUAACCCCCAAGCUUCUGAAGGCAGGAUCUCCAUGUUCUUCACCAUCUGCUUUUCAGAACUGUUGGUUGGAACAUGAGACUAUAUAGCUGGAUGCACUUUAGAAGAGAUGUGGAAGUUGAAAGUGCCCUGUGAAAUCAGUUUGUGUUCCCUUGGAAAAGGACCCUGAGAUGAAGAUUUAAUGCAUGUAGAUUACUGGGUAGCUGGUCCUCUCAGAAGGCACUGGAAGGGCAUGAAGAAGCAAGACAGAGUGGGGAGGAUAUCCACAAAAUGGUAUGUCAUUAAGCCAGGUUGCACUGAGGGUAAGUGGAACUUAAUGCCCUGUAGGAAUUCCAGGAAGGCAGUAUAACACAUGCACCCACCUGAAGAGCAAGGGAGUUGGGCUCUUUAUACACUACCUCGCAUCUCUCAUUGGUGGGGGGCUGGGCGGGGGCAGAACUUAAUUCUCUAGCACUUUGGGCCUGUGGGUGCACACUCCAGGCACUAGGGGAGAACCCUUAGGAAGUGAGCAGUCAGGCUCACAGAUACCCAGUAGGCUCAGGGGGCUCUAGGUGGGUCUUUAACAGCAUCUACCCCAACCCCCUACAGUGUAUUUUUUAACUUGGAGUUAAGUAAAAAUAUGUGGGAUGAGUAUUGAAUUUUAUUGGAGCAAUUAGAAAAUUAAAGAAUGGCUUGUUUUUAUGAGACAGACCACAGAUGGAAGGAGGGAUUCUGAGAAGGAAUUUAUAAUGCUGCAGUGUUUGUAAAAAGCUCUUCAAGGAAGGGGUUAUUUAACUGGUGCUUUGAAUGAAGCAAAGUCUUUGAGUCUCUCUCAGAGAGAAGAGGAAAAUCGCAGGCAGAAGAAGUAGCAGGAGCAAAGAAAAGGGAAGUGAGUGGUGAUUUAUCAAGGUACACAUCCUUGGGAAACAACUCUGGAGGGGUCAAUUGUAUUUCUGCAUGUCCUGCGAGUGAGGCUUACGGUGUUCCUGUAUUCUAGACUGUCUUUUCAAGGAUGAUUCUGUCUUAGAAGACAGAAAUAGCCUCUUCUUCUGGGUCAGAAAGCAGGUUAGCUUACUCUCCACUGUUAAAAACAUAAUGUUUCCCUCCAGGGUAAAGAUCAGGAAGGAUUCUGCCCACUAUAAAACAUUCAGGUUCCCUAAGCUCUGGUUUCUCCUCCUGUGAUGCAGCUCUCUGUGAAAACAGGUAUCCUCAGGCCUUUGCAUCAUCUGGUGGAAGUUCAGGCAUGGGGAAUGGGCUCAGUCACUGUCACUCCAGCUGCUGCAGUUGCUGGUGAGGAACAGAAUCCUUCGUCUCUGACCCAGGAGCUUCGUAUCUUAUGCCAGCACCCUUGAACCUGUGGCAGUGGUGCGCUGGAACUUCUCCGCUGGACUCCCAGACUUUCAAAGAGAGAGGCAGAGACACAGGCAGAGGGAGAAGCAGGCUC